UGGGGAAUAUUGCACAAUGGGCGCAAGCCUGAUGCAGCCAUGCCGCGUGUAUGAAGAAGGCCUUCGGGUUGUAAAGUACUUUCAGCGGGGAUGAAGGGAGUAAAGUUAAUACCUUUGCUCAUUGACGUUACCCGCAGAAGAAGCACCGGCUAACUCCGUGCCAGCAGCCGCGGUAAUACGGAGGGUGCAAGCGUUAAUCGGAAUUACUGGGCGUAAAGCGCACGCAGGCGGUUUGUUAAGUCAGAUGUGAAAUCCCCGGGCUCAACCUGGGAACUGCAUCUGAUACUGGCAAGCUUGAGUCUCGUAGAGGGGGGUAGAAUUCCAGGUGUAGCGGUGAAAUGCGUAGAGAUCUGGGGGAAUACCGGUGGCGAAGGCGGCCCCCUGGACGAAGACUGACGCUCAGGUGCGAAAGCGUGGGGAGCAAACA
rnacentral:rRNA from 1 species